AUUGAACGCUGGCGGCAGGCCUAACACAUGCAAGUCGAGCGAGAAAGGUCUUCGGACUGAGUACAGCGGCGGACGGGUGAGUAAAGCGUAGGAAUCUACCUGGUAGUGGGGGAUAACUUGGGGAAACUCAAACUAAUACCGCAUACGCCUACGGGGAAGGCGGGGACCGUUCGGGCCUCGCGCUAUCAGAUGAGCCUGCGUAGGAUUAGCUAGUUGGUGAGGUAAAGGCUCACCAAGGCGACGAUCCUUAGCUGGUCUGAGAGGAUGAUCAGCCACACUGGGACUGAGACACGGCCCAGACUCCUACGGGAGGCAGCAGUGGGGAAUAUUGCGCAAUGGGCGAAAGCCUGACGCAGCCAUGCCGCGUGUGUGAAGAAGGCCCUUAGGGGUUGUAAAGCACUUUUCAAUUGGGAAGAAAAGUUGGUCGUUAAUAGCGGCCAGCCCUGACAUUACCUUUAGAAGAAGGACCGGCUAACUCCGUGCC
rnacentral:rRNA from 1 species